rnacentral:rRNA from 1 species
GACGAACGCUGGCGGCGUGCUUAACACAUGCCAGUCGAACGGAAAGGCCCUGCUUUUGUGGGGUGCUCGAGUGGCGAACGGGUGAGUAACACGUGAGUAACCUGCCCUUGACUUUGGGAUAACUUCAGGAAACUGGGGCUAAUACCGGAUAGGAGCUCCUGCUGCAUGGUGGGGGUUGGAAAGUUUCGGCGGUUGGGGAUGGACUCGCGGCUUAUCAGCUUGUUGGUGGGGUAGUGGCUUACCAGGGCUUUGACGGGUAGCCGGCCUGAGAGGGUGACCGGCCACAUUGGGACUGAGAUACGGCCCAGACUCCUACGGGAGGCAGCAGUGGGGAAUAUUGCACAACGGGCGGAAGCCUGAUGCAGCAACGCCGCGUGCGGGAUGACGGCCUUCGGGUUGUAAACCGCUUUCGCCCGUGACGAAGCGUGAGUGACGGUAAUGGGUAAAGAAGCACCGGCUAACUACGUG